UAAACGCUGGCGGCGUGCUACACAUGCAGUCGAACGGGACCGGGGGCACUCCGGUUCAGUGGCGGACGGGUGCGUAACACGUGAGGAACAUGACCUUCGGCGGGGGAUAGCCGGCCCAACGGCCGGGUAAUACCGCGUACGACCUUUCGGGGACAUCCCUGGUAUGGUGAAAGCAGCAAUGCGCCGAUGGAGUGCCUCGCGGCCUAUCAGCUAGUUGGUGGGGUAACGGCCUACCAAGGCGACGACGGGUAGCUGGUCUGAGAGGAUGGCCAGCCACAUUGGGACUGAGACACGGCCCAGACUCCUACGGGAGGCAGCAGUGGGGAAUAUUGCGCAAUGGACGAAAGUCUGACGCAGCGACGCCGCGUGUGGGAUGACGGUCUUCGGAUUGUAAACCACUGUCGGGAGGGACGAAUACGCCGCAAGGCGGGUGACGGUACCUCCAAAGGAAGCACCGGCUAACUCCGUGCCAGCAGCCGCGGUAAUACGGAGGGUGCGAGCGUUGUCCGGAAUCACUGGGCGUAAAGGGCGCGUAGGCGGCCUGGUAAGUAGGGGGUGAAAUC
rnacentral:rRNA from 1 species